ACGAACGCUGGCGGCGUGCUUAACACAUGCAAGUCGAACGGAAAGGCCCUGCUUUUGUGGGGUGCUCGAGUGGCGAACGGGUGAGUAACACGUGAGUAACCUGCCCUUGACUUUGGGUUAACUUCAGGAAACUGGGGCUAAUACCGGAAAGGAGCUCCUGCUGCAGGGUGGGGGUUGGAAAGUUUCGGCGGUUGGGGAUGGACUGGCGGCUUAUCAGCUUGUUGGUGGGGUAGUGGCUUACCAAGGCUUUGACGGGUAGCCGGCCUGGGAGGGUGACCGGCCACAUUGGGACUGAGAUACGGCCCAGACUCCUACGGGAGGCAGCAGUGGGGAAUAUUGCACAAUGGGCGGAAGCCUGAUGCAGCAACGCCGCGUGCGGGAUGACGGCCUUCGGGUUGUAAACCGCUUUCGCCUGUGACGAAGCGUGAGUGACGGUAAUGGGUAAAGAAGCACCGGCUAACUACGUG
rnacentral:rRNA from 1 species